rnacentral:rRNA from 1 species
AACGGACGCUGGCGGCAGGCCUAACACAUGCAAGUCGAGCGAAGCCUUCGGGCUUAGCGGCGGACGGGUGAGUAACGCGUGGGAACGUGCCCUUUGGUACGGGAUAGCCCCGGGAAACUGGGAGUAAUACCGUAUGUGGUCGAGAGACGAAAGAUUUAUCGCCAAAGGAUCGGCCCGCGUUGGAUUAGGUAGUUGGUGGGGUAAUGGCCUACCAAGCCGACGAUCCAUAGCUGGUUUGAGAGGAUGAUCAGCCACACUGGGACUGAGACACGGCCCAGACUCCUACGGGAGGCAGCAGUGGGGGAUCUUAGACAAUGGGGGAAACCCUGAUCUAGCCAUGCCGCGUGAUCGAUGAAGGCCUUAGGGUUGUAAAGAUCUUUCAGUGGGGAAGAUAAUGACUGUACCCACAGAAGAAGCCCCGGCUAACUCCGUGCCAGCCGCCGCCGUAAUAC